GAGUUUGAUCCUGGCUCAGGAUGAACGCUAGCGGCAGGCCUAACACAUGCAAGUCGAGGGGUAACAUAAAGUGCUUGCACUUUGAUGACGACCGGCGCACGGGUGAGUAACGCGUAUACAAUCUGCCUCAUACUAGGGGAUAGCCCAGAGAAAUUUGGAUUAAUACCCUAUAGUAUCAUUUAGAGUCAUCUCUUUAUGAUUAAAGGUUACGGUAUGAGAUGAGUAUGCGUUCUAUUAGUUAGUAGGUGAGGUAACGGCUCACCUAGACCACGAUAGAUAGGGGCCCUGAGAGGGGGAUCCCCCACACUGGUACUGAGACACGGACCAGACUCCUACGGGAGGCAGCAGUGAGGAAUAUUAGACAAUGGGCGAAAGCCUGAUCUAGCCAUGCCGCGUGCAGGAUGACGGCCCUAUGGGUUGUAAACUGCUUUUAUACAGGAAGAAAAAACUCUACGUGUAGAGUCUUGACGGUACUGUAAGAAUAAGGAUCGGCUAACUCCGUGCCAGCAGCCGCGGUAAUACGGAGGAUCCAAGCGUUAUCCGGAAUUAUUGGGUUUAAAGGGUCUGUAGGUGGACAAUUAAGUCAGAGGUGAAAUCCUGCAGCUCAACUGUAGAAUUGCCUUUGAAACUGGUUGUCUUGAGUCAUUAUGAAGUGGUUAGAGUGUGUAGUGUAGCGGUGAAAUGCAUAGAUAUUACACAGAAUACCAAUUGCGAAGGCAGAUCACUAAUAAUGUACUGACACUGAUGGACGAAAGCGUGGGUAGCGAACAGGAUUAGAUACCCUGGUAGUCCACGCCGUAAACGAUGGUCACUAGCUGUUCGGACUUCGGUCUGAGUGGCUAAGCGAAAGUGAUAAGUGACCCACCUGGGGAGUACGUUCGCAAGAAUGAAACUCAAAGGAAUUGACGGGGGCCCGCACAAGCGGUGGAGCAUGUGGUUUAAUUCGAUGAUACGCGAGGAACCUUACCAGGGCUUAAAUGUAGAGUGACAGGUCUAGAGAUAGAUUUUUCUUCGGACACUUUACAAGGUGCUGCAUGGUUGUCGUCAGCUCGUGCCGUGAGGUGUCAGGUUAAGUCCUAUAACGAGCGCAACCCCUGUUGUUAGUUGCCAGCGAGUAAUGUCGGGAACUCUAGCAAGACUGCCAGUGCAAACUGUGAGGAAGGUGGGGAUGACGUCAAAUCAUCACGGCCCUUACGUCCUGGGCUACACACGUGCUACAAUGGUAGGUACAGAGAGCAGCCAAUGCGCAAGAAGGAGCGAAUCUAUAAAACCUAUCUCAGUUCGGAUCGGAGUCUGCAACUCGACUCCGUGAAGCUGGAAUCGCUAGUAUUCGGAUAUCAGCCAUGAUCCGGUGAAUACGUUCCCGGGCCUU
rnacentral:rRNA from 1 species